rnacentral:lncRNA from 1 species
UAAAAUUUGAAGAAGAUUUGAUCAUGAUUUGAAGAAGAUUUGAUCAUGAUUUGAAGAAGAUUUGAUUGAGAUUUGAUCAAGAUUUGAAGAAUAUUUAAUUAAGAUUUGAAGAAUAUUUAAUCAAGAUUUAUCUACAACAAAAUAUGAAUAGAAUUAGUGUGAAGAAUUUACAAAAUCAAUCUAGACAAAAUAGGAACAUAAUCAAUAUGAAUAAUUUACAAACUCAUUCUGAACAAUAUACAAUUCAGAAUUAAACAAGGACUAAAUUGAAGCCCAAAUUUUCACUAUAAAUAGACACUCAAGGCUGAAGAAGAAAAGCGUAGAAAAGUAGAAAAGAAGAACUCAAGCUCAAAGUUCUCAAUUCAUCUUAGAGUUCAAAGAGAGAAACACUUGUUCAAGUUAGAAAUAUUUUCUGAGUGUUCUUUUCUUAGACUGUGAGAGUUAUUAUUAUUAUACCAGCUUUGUUAGAAACAACUACUCAAGUUCCAAUAUUUUGUAUCCAACUCGAUAAUGGUUUAGUUUCUUCUUCAAUCUAGGGUUGUCAGGUUGUUAGGAAAAGUCUUGGCUGGUAGGGUCAAUGUGGUUAGUUCCUCAAAAGUCUAAAGUUGUUAGGCUGUUUGGGAUGACUGACUUGGAGGGUCAGGUGAUUUGUAAUUCAAGAUAUUAGAAUUAGUGGAUUAAAGCCUUUUGAAUGUAGGAAAUGGAUGUAGCCAAGUAAGUGGUGAACUAGGAUAAACAUGUGUCAAAUUAAU